rnacentral:rRNA from 1 species
UACAGAGGGGGCCAGCGUUAUUCGGAAUUAUUGGGCGUAAAGGGCGCGUAGGCGGCGAUUCAAGUGACGGGUGAAAUCCCUCGGCUUAACCGAGGAACUGCCUGUCAGACUGGAUUGCUUGAGGCCGGGAGAGGUGAGUGGAAUUCCCAGUGUAGCGGUGAAAUGCGCAGAUAUUGGGAGGAACACCAGUGGCGAAGGCGGCUCACUGGACCGGUACUGACGCUGAUGCGCGAAAGCGUGGGGAGCAAACGGG